rnacentral:rRNA from 1 species
CCUAGGGAGGCUGCAGUGGGGAAUAUUGGACAAUGGGGGGAACCCUGAUCCAGCCAUGCCGCGUGUGUGAAGAAGGCCCUCGGGUUGUAAAGCACUUUCAGUGAGGAAGAACGCCUGGUGGUUAAUACCCAUCAGGAAAGACAUCACUCACAGAAGAAGCACCGGCUAACUCCGUGCCAGCAGCCGCGGUAAUACGGAGGGUGCGAGCGUUAAUCGGAAUUACUGGGCGUAAAGCGCGCGUAGGUGGCUUGAUAAGCCGGUUGUGAAAGCCCCGGGCUCAACCUGGGAACGGCAUCCGGAACUGUCAAGCUAGAGUGCAGGAGAGGAAGGUAGAAUUCCCGGUGUAGCGGUGAAAUGCGUAGAGAUCGGGAGGAAUACCAGUGGCGAAGGCGGCCUUCUGGACUGACACUGACACUGAGGUGCGAAAGCGUGGGUAGCAAACAGGAUUAGAUACCCUGGUAGUC